UGUGGACAUUACAAAAGCUACAGCUCCUUCUCCACAGCCGCUAUAGCCAAAAAGGAGCUCAGAGUGACAGCUGUCCCUGACAGUCAACCUUCCACUUGCCAUAAUAGAUCUGCAAUAUUUGGGGCAAAUACCAUU